CAGCAGCCACGGUAAUACGUAGGUGGCAAGCGUUGUCCGGAAUUAUUGGGCGUAAAGAGCGCGUAGGCUGGUCUUUAAGUGAGUGGUGAAAGGUUCGGGCUCAACCCGGACACUGCCUUUCAUACUGGGGACCUUGAGUGUGGGAGAGGCGAGUGGAAUGGUCGGUGUAGCGGUGAAAUGCGUAGAUAUCGAUCGGAACACCCAUGGCGAAGGCAGCUCGCUGGCCUAACACUGACGCUGAGGCGCGAAAGCGUGGGGAGCAAACAGGAUUAGAGACCCCGGUAGUCCCUGUCUCUUAUAC
rnacentral:rRNA from 1 species